AGUGAACGCUGGCGGUAGGCCUAACACAUGCAAGUCGAACGGCAGCACAGAGGAGCUUGCUCCUUGGGUGGCGAGUGGCGGACGGGUGAGGAAUACAUCGGAAUCUACACUGUCGUGGGGGAUAACGUAGGGAAACUUACGCUAAUACCGCAUACGACCUACGGGUGAAAGCAGGGGACCUUCGGGCCUUGCGCGAUUGAAUGAGCCGAUGUCGGAUUAGCUAGUUGGCGGGGUAAAGGCCCACCAAGGCGACGAUCCGUAGCUGGUCUGUGCGAGUGAUCCGCCACACUGGGACUGCGACACGGGCCAGACUGCUACGGGAGGAAGCAGUGGGGAAUAUUGGACAAUGGGCGCAAGCCUGAUCCAGCCAUACCGCGUGGGUGAAGAAGGCCUUCGGGUUGUAAAGCCCUUUUGUUGGGAAAGAAAUCCAGCUGGCUAAUACCCGGUUGGGAUGACGGUACCCAAAGAAUAAGCACCGGCUAACUUCGUGCCAGCAGCCGCUGUAA
rnacentral:rRNA from 1 species